GGGGAAUUUUGGACAAUGGGCGCAAGCCUGAUCCAGCCAUGCCGCGUGAGUGAAGAAGGCCUUCGGGUUGUAAAGCUCUUUCGGCUGGGAAGAAAUCGCACUCUCUAAUACGGGGUGUGGAUGACGGUACCAGCAUAAGAAGCACCGGCUAACUACGUGCCAGCAGCCGCGGUAAUACGUAGGGUGCGAGCGUUAUUCGGAAUUACUGGGCGUAAAGCGUGCGCAGGCGGUUGUGUAAGACAGACGUGAAAUCCCCGGGCUCAACCUGGGAACUGCGUUUGUGACUGCACGGCUAGAGUACGGCAGAGGGGGGUGGAAUUCCACGUGUAGCAGUGAAAUGCGUAGAGAUGUGGAGGAACACCGAUGGCGAAGGCAGCCCCCUGGGCCAGUACUGACGCUCAUGCACGAAAGCGUGGGGAGCAAACA
rnacentral:rRNA from 1 species